GUAGUUGGUCAGACGGUCGCAUUGCCCCGAAGGGCUGUGAGGAAAGUCCGAGCAUCGCAGGGCAUGGCGCCGGGUAACUCCCGGUAGAGGCGACUCUAAGGAAAGUGCAACAGAAAACAACCGCAGCUCACGCUGUAAGGAUGAAAAGGUAGCGUAAGAGACUACCGGCGUACCGGCGACGGCGCGCGCGAUGUAAACCCCGCCCGAUGCAAGAUAGGGAACGCAAGGCUGCCCGCCGUAGUCCCCGAUAACAUCGCUCGAGCGUAUAGGUAACUAUGCGUCCAGAUAGAUGACCGUCUAAUACAGAACUCGGCUUACAGACCAAGCUACCCUA
rnacentral:RNase_P_RNA from 1 species